UGUUCGUGAAAUCUCACGGCUUAACUGUGAGCGUGCGGGCGAUACGGGCAGACUUGAGUACUGCAGGGGAGACUGGAAUUCCUGGUGUAGCGGUGGAAUGCGCAGAUAUCAGGAGGAACACCGGUGGCGAAGGCGGGUCUCUGGGCAGUAACUGACGCUGAGGAGCGAAAGCGUGGGGAGCGAACAGGAUUAGAUACCCUGGUAGUCCACGCCGUAAACGGUGGGUACUAGGUGUGGGUUUCCUUCCUUGGGAUCCGUGCCGUAGCUAACGCAUUAAGUACCCCGCCUGGGGAGUACGGCCGCAAGGCUAAAACUCAAAGAAAUUGACGGGGGCCCGCACAAGCGGCGGAGCAUGUGGAUUAAUUCGAUGCAACGCGAAGAACCUUACCUGGGUUUGACAUGCACAGGACGCCGGCAGAGAUGUCGGUUCCCUUGUGGCCUGUGUGCAGGUGGUGCAUGGCUGUCGUCAGCUCGUGUCGUGAGAUGUUGGGUUAAGUCCCGCAACGAGCGCAACCCUUGUCUCAUGUUGCCAGCGGGUAAUGCCGGGGACUCGUGAGAGACUGCCGGGGUCAACUCGGAGGAAGGUGGGGAUGACGUCAAGUCAUCAUGCCCCUUAUGUCCAGGGCUUCACACAUGCUACAAUGGCCGGUACAAAGGGCUGCGAUGCCGCGAGGUUAGGCGAAUCCUUUUAAAGCCGGUCUCAGUUCGGAUCGGGGUCUGCAACUCGACCCCGUGAAGUCGG
rnacentral:rRNA from 1 species